GAAAAAACAUUUUUAUUAUCUUUGCAUCACCACUUAGUCAAUGUACAUACACAAUCAUACAUUUUUAUUAUCUUUGCAUCACCAAUUAUCUUUGCCUGAGCACUGGAUCGGGUGCCCCUCUUCCCAGCCUUGGCCGCGCGGCCGCCUGCUCCUCUUCCCGGCCGUGAGCCCCGCAUCGCCCUCUGCUACCCCCGCUGCCGCCUGUAUUCCCGAACAUGGGCUGCGCACCACCACGCCAUGGCUGUCGGCUGAGCGCUGGGCACUGGCGCCCGUCUUCCUGGCUGCCGGCACGAAUGAAGGAGAGGAGCUGCCGGCGGCGCUGUUGAAGGAGAGGAGCUGCCAGCGGUGCUGCUGAAGGAGAGGACCGGCCGCGCCGCAGAUGAAGGAGACGCGCAGCCGCCCGCGCGGAUCCAGGAGGAGCGGCCAGCGGCGUGGAUUCGGGGAGGAGUGGUUGGCGGCGCGGAUCCAGGAGGGAGCCAGGUUCGUGCGACAGAAGGAGAUGCGAGAGGCUUCGUGCGAGGGAGACGGGUGAGCGGUUCCGCGUG
rnacentral:rRNA from 1 species